UGCUGUUUUUACACUGGUUUAUUCAUAUUAAUACACGUUAAUACACAAUGUAUAUGAAACGCUUAGUAGACAAAGAACAUAAAAAUAUAUAUAUUGAAAUAAAUUGAAUGGACAGAGUAUGUAUGUAUAUACUCUGACCAAAAAAUUAUUGUACGGAACUGUUUGUACACGUACAAUAAAUAAUAUAGGAGGAGUUAAGGUGCGAAAUGACUUUACUCCACGAGUGCUGUUUUUACACUGGUUUAUUCAUAUUAAUACACGUUAAUACACAAUGUAUAUGAAACGCUUAGUAGACAAAGAACAUAAAAAUAUAUAUAUUGAAAUA
rnacentral:misc_RNA from 1 species